GAUGAACGCUGGCGGCGUGCCUAACACAUGCAAGUCGAACGAUGAAACCGCCCUCGGGCGGACAUGAAGUGGCGAACGGGUGAGUAACACGUGACCAACCUGCCCCUUGCUCCGGGACAACCUUGGGAAACCGAGGCUAAUACCGGAUACUCCUCGCCCCCCUCCUGGGGGGCCCGGGAAAGCCCAGGCGGCAAGGGAUGGGGUCGCGGCCCAUUAGGUAGUAGGCCGGGGAACGGCCCACCUAGCCCGCGAUGGGGAGCCGGGUUGAGAGAACGAACGGCCACAUUGGGACUGAGAGACGGCACAGACUCCGACGGGAGGCAGCAGUGGGGAAUUUUGCGCAAUGGGGGAAACCCUGACGCAGCAACGCCGCGUGCGGGACGACGGCCUUCGGGUUGUAAACCGCUUUCAGCAGGGAAGAAAUUCGACGGUACCUGCAGAAGAAGCUCCGGCUAACUACGUGCCAGCAGCCGCGGUAA
rnacentral:rRNA from 1 species